rnacentral:rRNA from 1 species
UACGUAGGGUGCAAGCGUUAAUCGGAAUUACUGGGCGUAAAGCGUGCGCAGGUGGUUUUGUAAGACAGGCGUGAAAUUCCCGGGCUUAACCUGGGGAUUGCGCUUGUGACUGCAAAGCUAGAGUGUGGCAGAGGGAGAUAGAAUUCCGCGUGUAGCAGUGAAAUGCGUAGAUAUGCGGAGGAAUACCGAUGGCGAAGGCAGUCUCCUGGGCCUACACUGACGCUCAUGCACGAAAGCGUGGGGAGCAAACAGG